rnacentral:rRNA from 1 species
UACGUAGGGUGCAAGCGUUAAUCGGAAUUACUGGGCGUAAAGCGUGCGCAGGCGGCUGUGUAAGUCAGAUGUGAAAUCCCCGGGCUCAACCUGGGAACUGCAUUUGUGACUGCACGGCUGGAGUGCGGCAGAGGGGGAUGGAAUUCCGCGUGUAGCAGUGAAAUGCGUAGAUAUGCGGAGGAACACCGAUGGCGAAGGCAAUCCCCUGGGCCUGCACUGACGCUCAUGCACGAAAGCGUGGGGAGCAAACAGG